rnacentral:rRNA from 1 species
CGUGGAGACAGGUGGUGCAUGGCUGUCGUCAGCUCGUGUCGUGAGAUGUUGGGUUAAGUCCCGCAACGAGCGCAACCCUCGCCUCUUGUUGCCAUCAGGUCAUGCUGGGCACUCUAGAGGAACUGCCCCGGUCAACGGGGAGGAAGGCGGGGAUGACGUCAAGUCAUCAUGCCCCUUACGUCCUGGGCUACACACGUGCUACAAUGGCCGGUACAAAGGGAUGCCACACCGCGAGGUAGAGCUAAACCCAAAAAGCCGGUCUAAGUUCAGAUUGGAGUCUGCAACUCGACUCCAUGAAGGAGGAAUCGCUGGUAAUCGCGUAUCAGCACGACGCGGUGAAUACGUUCCCGGGCCUUGUACACACCGCCCGUCACACCACGAAAGCCUGCUGUACUCGAAGUCGCUGAG